CGGAGGGUGCAAGCGUUAUCCGGAUUCACUGGGUUUAAAGGGUGCGUAGGAGGGCAGGUAAGUCAGUGGUGAAAUCUCCAAGCUUAACUUGGAAACUGCCGUUGAUACUAUCUGUCUUGAAUAUUGUGGAGGUGAGCGGAAUAUGUCAUGUAGCGGUGAAAUGCUUAGAUAUGACAUAGAACACCAAUUGCGAAGGCAGCUCGCUACUCAAUUAUUGACCCUGAGGCACGAAAGCGUGGGGAUCAAACAGGAUUAGAUACCCUGGUAGUCCACGCCCUAAACUAUGGAUACUCGACAUACGCGAUAUACAGUGUGUGUCUGAGCGAAAAGCAUUAAGUAUCCCACCUGGGAAGUACGACCGCAAAGGUUG
rnacentral:rRNA from 1 species